AUUGAACGCUGGCGGAAUGCUUUACACAUGCAAGUCGAACGGCAGCACGGACUUCGGUCUGGUGGCGAGUGGCGAACGGGUGAGUAAUAUAUCGGAACGUGCCCAGUCGUGGGGGAUAACGUAGCGAAAGUUACGCUAAUACCGCAUACGAUCUACGGAUGAAAGCGGGGGAUCGCAAGACCUCGCGCGAUUGGAGCGGCCGAUAUCAGAUUAGGUAGUUGGUGGGGUAAAGGCUCACCAAGCCAACGAACUGUAGCUGGUCUGAGAGGACGACCAGCCACACUGGAACUGAGACACGGUCCAGACUCCUACGGGAGGCAGCAGUGGGUAAUUUUGGACAAUGGACGCAAGUCUGAUCCAGCCAUUCCGCGUGCAGGAUGAAGGCCCUCGGGUUGUAAGCUGCUUUUGUACAGAACGAAAAGGCUCGUCCUAAUACGGAGGGCUCAUGACGGUACUGUAAGAAUAAGCACCGGCUAACUACGUGCCAGCCGCCGCCGUAA
rnacentral:rRNA from 1 species